CAUUUACUCCCUCCGUUCGGAAAUACUUGUCUUAGAAAUGGUUGUAUCUAGAACUAAAAUAAGUCUACAUACAACCAUUUCUAGGACAAGUAUUUCCGAACGGAGGGAGUAGCUG
rnacentral:pre_miRNA from 1 species